rnacentral:rRNA from 1 species
UGGGGAAUAUUGCACAAUGGGCGCAAGCCUGAUGCAGCCAUGCCGCGUGUAUGAAGAAGGCCUUCGGGUUGUAAAGUACUUUCAGUCGGGAGGAAGGUGUCAAGGUUAAUAACCUUGGCAAUUGACGUUACCGACAGAAGAAGCACCGGCUAACUCCGUGCCAGCAGCUGCGGUAAUACGGAGGGUGCAAGCGUUAAUCGGAAUUACUGGGCGUAAAGCGCACGCAGGCGGUUUGUUAAGUCAGAUGUGAAAUCCCCGGGCUCAACCUGGGAACUGCAUCUGAUACUGGCAAGCUUGAGUCUCGUAGAGGGGGGUAGAAUUCCAGGUGUAGCGGUGAAAUGCGUAGAGAUCUGGAGGAAUACCGGUGGCGAAGGCGGCCCCCUGGACGAAGACUGACGCUCAGAUGCGAAAGCGUGGGGAGCAAACAGG